UAUUCAAGGUGUACUAUCUCAGUAAGGUAUAGUGCAAUGGCUGAAUUGAUGUAUUUAUGUAUUUCGCGUGUUGUUUAGUUUAUUUAUUAAAGGGAAAUGCCGGUCAGACUGAUCUGUUUUCCAACUUGUUAUUUCACACUUGUGCAUGUAUCAUUACAUUGUUUACAGCAGUUAACAUCACAGUGAGAGGAAGCAGUGUUGUGUGGAGAGAGAAUUAUAUCUAUUAUCUAUAUAAGGGCAGUGGUCCCAUAGACCAAGCCUAUGUAAAGUGUAAAGUGGAUUUACUAUGUCUCUACACCUAGAUGCAAUAAAGUCUUAAAGAAUACAGUGAUUGAA